rnacentral:misc_RNA from 1 species
AAAGUCGUAACAAGGUUUCCGUAGGUGAACCUGCGGAAGGAUCAUUAAAGCGUUGCCGACGUCGGCCCCGGCCGUCCGGCUUGAGAUAUAGCCUGGACGGUGCUGGAGGUCGCCGGCAGUUGCCCAUUCUUGCCUACUGACCCAGUUGCCUCGGCGAGCCCUGCCACCUGUGGCAGACCGGAAGCCGCCUGAGCCCCUAGGGCUUAGGCGGCCCUGGCCAGUGCCCGCCGACGGACAUACCUAAAAUCUUUAUAUAUUGGCCGUCUGAGCGUAUAAAGCAAAUCAAUUAAAACUUUCAACAACGGAUCUCUUGGUUCCG